rnacentral:rRNA from 1 species
UACGUAGGGGGCAAGCGUUGUCCGGAAUCAUUGGGCGUAAAGCGCGUGUAGGCGGUCCGGUAAGUCGGCUGUGAAAGUCCAGGGCUCAACCCUGGGAUGCCGGUCGAUACUGCCGGACUAGAGUUCGGAAGAGGCGAGUGGAAUUCCCGGUGUGAGCGGUGAAUGACGCAGAUAUCGGGAGGAACACCAAUGGCGAAAGCAGCUGCCUGGCCUUUACGUGAACGCUAAGACGUCGAAAGCUGGGGGAGCAAACAGGG